UGAUUUAUUGGUAACAGAACGUGUAUAUAUCAGAAGUUUGUAAAACAUAUACAUUGAGUAUGCACACAUAAGUAACAGAAAUAAAAAACGUUAAUCUUUGUAUGGACACAUAUAAAGAAGAAACGGUUAAUACCGUAUAUUUAAGAGUUAAGAAAACUGUUAAACAUGUUU
rnacentral:rRNA from 1 species